rnacentral:rRNA from 1 species
AGUGAACGCUGGCGGUAGGCCUAACACAUGCAAGUCGAACGGCAGCACAGGAGAGCUUGCUCUCUGGGUGGCGAGUGGCGGACGGGUGAGGAAUACAUCGGAAUCUACUUUUUCGUGGGGGAUAACGUAGGGAAACUUACGCUAAUACCGCAUACGACCUACGGGUGAAAGCAGGGGACCUUCGGGCCUUGCGCGAUUAAAUGAGCCGAUGUCGGAUUAGCUAGUUGGCGGGGUAAAGGCCCACCAAGGCGACGAUCCGUAGCUGGUCUGAGAGGAUGAUCAGCCACACUGGAACUGAGACACGGUCCAGACUCCUACGGGAGGCAGCAGUGGGGAAUAUUGGACAAUGGGCGUAAGCCUGAUCCAGCCAUACCGCGUGGGUGAAGAAGGCCUUCGGGUUGUAAAGCCCUUUUGUUGGGAAAGAAAUCCAGCUGGCUAAUACCCGGUUGGGAUGACGGUACCCAAAGAAUAAGCACCGGCUAACUUCGUGCCAGCAGCCGCGGUAA